rnacentral:rRNA from 1 species
GACGAACGCUGGCGGCGUGCUUAACACAUGCAAGUCGAACGAAGUGGCGAACGGGUGAGUAAUACGUGGGUAACCUGCCCUCCUUUUUGGGAUAAGCCUUGGAAACGGGGUCUAAUACCGACUAAAGGGGGAUGGGCUCGCGGCCUAUCAGCUUGUUGGGGGGGUGAUGGCCUACCACGGCGGUGGCGGGUAGCCGGCCUGAGAGGGGGACCGGCCAGAUUGUGAGUGAGAUACGGGCCAGACACCUACGGGAGGCAGCAGUGGGGGAGAUUGCACAAUGGGCGACAGCCCGAUGCAGCGACGCCGCGGGGGGGAUGAAGGCUUUCGGGUUGUAAACCUCUAUGGCGAUCGAACGGGUAGGUGAAGAAUAAGCGCCGGCUAACUACGUGCCAGCAGCCGCGGUAAUUC